UCUCUCUCUCUCUCAUCUCCGUCUCUGCGCGCAUGAUCGCAAUAGUGUUCCACUAUCCGCCGCCCGUGACUCUAAUGGUCCGUGACUGUUAAUCCAUUUUCAUUUUCAAUUAAUUAGUUUCCAUAAACACACACACACACACCUACACAUAUACAUAUAUAUACACACACAUCGUUAUCCAAUGCCUUCGUCGAAACCACUCCACCAUCCUCUCUUCUCCUCCGCCAAAUCUCACCGGAGAAAACUCCCAAUCCGCUGCUUCUGCCUCCUAAUCGCCGCCAUGUCCUCCAUCCUCAUCCUCCUCAUCUCUCUCUUCCUCUUCGCCUCUCCAUCUUCCUCCGCCGCUCAGAUCCGUCUCGCCUGCAAGGCCACUCGCUACCCAGACCAAUGCCUCACUUCCCUAUCCGAACCGGGCCGGGUCCCUCCGGAUCCGAGCCCAUCACAGAUCAUCCACUCAGCGAUCGCGGCCUCUUCCCAGGCCCUCGAGACGGCCCAAUCGAAAGUGAAGUCUAUCCUAGACUCCUCCGCAGGGAAUCUCGACCGCACCAACGCGGCGAACACGUGCCUCCAGCUGCUCUCUUACUCCGAGCAACGCACGCGAUCGACGGAUCAGGCCCUGACACGUGGCGAAAUUAAAAACGCUCGCGCUUGGCUCAGCGCUGCGCUCGUGUACCAGUACGACACGUGGUCGGCGCUCAAGUACGUCAACGACACUAAACAAGUCGGCGAAACGAUGUCGUUUCUCGACGGGCUUAUCCACGUCACCAGCAACGCGCUGAGCAUGAUGGUGUCGUACGAUAACUUCGGAGACAACGUGGCGUCGUGGACUCCUCCGAGGACGGAGCGGGACGGGUUUUGGGAGAAGACUGGGCCGGGCCUGGGCUCGGAGCCUAAUUUGGGCUUCCCUUCCGGUUUAAAAGAAGACGUUACGGUUUGUAAAACCGGGAAAUGCGGUUACAAGACGGUUCAGGAGGCCGUUAACGCGGCGCCGGAAGAUAACGGAGCGGUUAAGUUCGUUAUAAAGAUCAGCGAGGGAGUGUACGAGGAGACCGUUAGAGUUCCGUUUGAGAAAAGAAACGUUGUUUUUAUUGGAGACGGUAUGGGCAAAACAGUCAUUACGGGAUCGUUGAACGCCGGUAUGCCUGGGAUCACCACGUACAACACUGCCACUGUCGGAGUGGUAGGAGAUGGGUUCAUGGCACGUGAUCUAACGUUCCAGAACACGGCCGGACCAGACGCUCACCAAGCUGUAGCCUUUAGAUCCGACAGUGAUUUUUCUCUGCUCGAGAACUGUGAGUUUCUUGGGAACCAAGACACACUCUACGCACAUGGACUUCGUCAGUUCUACAAAAAAUGUCGUAUCCAAGGAAACGUUGACUUCAUCUUCGGAAACUCAGCUUCUGUCUUCCAAGAAUGCGAGAUCCUAAUCGCGCCGCGUCAGCUUAAACCCGAGAAGGGCGAGAAAAACGCCGUCACUGCUCAAGGAAGAGUGGACCCGUCACAGUCAACGGGGUUCGUGUUCUUGAACUGUUUGAUAAACGGAACAGAGGAGUACAUGAAGCUGUAUAAAGCUAAGCCUAAGGUGCAUAAGAACUACUUGGGGAGGCCUUGGAAAGAGUUCUCGAGGACUGUGUUUAUAGGCUGUGAUUUAGAGGCUUUGAUUAUUCCUGAUGGGUGGUUACCGUGGACCGGAGAGUUCGCGCUCAAGACUCUGUAUUAUGGUGAAUCUAAGAACACUGGUUCAGGAUCUGAUAGGUCAAAAAGGGUUUCAUGGAGCAGUGAGAUUCCGGACGAGCAUGUUAAUGUGUACUCGGUGGCUAACUUUAUUCAAGCCGAUGAGUGGGCGUUGUCUGGUUGAAUCAUGUUAAGACUAAAAAUUGUCAUAAGGAGAAAACCUUCUCAUUGUACUUUAGUUAGAGAUUAGUUAAUAUCAAUUGAAAAUUUCAGAUCUUUAGGACUAAUAAUUGAUGGUAAACCAAAAAAAAAAUGUUUUGAACUUUGGGAGGAAACAGCUUUUUUUGCUUGUCA